GUCGAGAAUAAUUCACAAUGGACGAAAGUCUGAUGGUGCAACGCCGCGUGGAGGAUGACGGUCUUCGGAUUGUAAACUCCUGUCAUCCGGGAGUAAGACCUGGCUGUGAAUAGCAGACAGGGUUGAUAGUACCGGAAGAGGAAGGGACGGCUAACUUCGUGCCAGCAGCCGCGGUAAUACGAAGGUCCCGAGCGUUGUUCGGAAUCACUGGGCGUAAAGGGAGCGUAGGCGGCGUGGUAAGUCAGAUGUGAAAUCCCGGGGCUCAACCCCGGAACUGCAUCCGAUACUGCCGUGCUAGAGGAUUGGAGAGGUAGCUGGAAUUCUUGGUGUAGCAGUGAAAUGCGUGGAGAUCAAGAGGAACACUCGUGGCGAAAGCGAGCUACUGGACAAUAUCUGACGCUGAGGCUCGAAGGCCAGGGUAGCGAAAGGGAUUAGAUACCCGUGUAGUCC
rnacentral:rRNA from 1 species